UACGUAGGGGGCAAGCGUUAUCCGGAUUUACUGGGUGUAAAGGGAGCGUAGGCGGCGAUGCAAGUCAGAAGUGAAAGCCCGGGGCUCAACUCCGGGACUGCUUUUGAAACUGUAUGGCUAGAUUGCAGGAGAGGCAAGUGGAAUUCCUCGUGUAGCGGUGAAAUGCGUAGAUAUGAGGAGGAACACCAGUGGCGAAGGCGGUCUGCUGGACAGCAACUGACGCUGAGGCGCGAAAGCGUGGGGAGCAAACAGG
rnacentral:rRNA from 1 species